GACGAACGCUGGCGGCGUGCCUAAUACAUGCAAGUCGAACGAAGCUGUUUUAACUGGUGCUUGCACCGACUUAAACAACUGAGUGGCGAACGGGUGAGUAACACGUGGGUAACCUGCCCCAAAGCGGGGGAUAACAUUUGGAAACAGAUGCUAAUACCGCAUAACCACAGAAACCACAUGGUUUCUGUGUCAAAGAUGUUUUCGGCUAUCACUUUGGGAUGGACCCGCGGCGUAUUAGCUAGUUGGUAAGGUAAUGGCUUACCAAGGCAAUGAUACGUAGCCGAACUGAGAGGUUGAGCGGCCACAUUGGGACUGAGACACGGCCCAAACUCCUACGAGAGGCAGCAGUAGGGAAUCUUCCACAAUGGACGAAAGUCUGAUGGAGCAACGCCGCGUGAGUGAAGAAGGUUUUCGGAUCGUAAAACUCUGUUGUCAGAGAAGAACGUGUGCGAGAGUAACUGUUCGUGCAGUGACGGUAUCUGGCCAGAAAGCCACGGCUAACUACGUGCCAGCCGCCGCCGUAA
rnacentral:rRNA from 1 species